rnacentral:rRNA from 1 species
AUUGAACGCUGGCGGCAUGCCUUACACAUGCAAGUCGAACGGCAGCACGGGAGCAAUCCUGGUGGCGAGUGGCGAACGGGUGAGUAAUGUAUCGGAACGUGCCCAGUCGUGGGGGAUAGCGUAGCGAAAGCUACACUAAUACCGCAUACGAUCUAUGGAUGAAAGCGGGGGAUCGCAAGACCUCGCGCGAUUGGAGCGGCCGAUAUCAGAUUAGGUAGUUGGGUGGGGUAAAGGCCCACCAAGCCUGCGAUCUGUAGCUGGUCUGAGAGGACGACGAGCCACACGGGAACUGGGACACGGUCCAGACUCCUACGGGAGGCAGCAGUGGGGAAUUUUGGACAAUGGGCGCAAGCCUGAUCCAGCAAUGCCGCGAGCAGGAUGAAGGCCUUCGGGUUGUAAAAUGCUUUUGUACGGAACGAAACGGCUUUUUCUAAUACAGAGAGCUAAUGACGGUACCGUAAGAAUAAGCACCGGCUAACUACGUGCCAGCCGCCGCGGUAA